ACGGGAGGCAGCAGUGAGGAAUAUUGGUCAAUGGACGAGAGUCUGAACCAGCCAAGUAGCGUGCAGGAUGACGGCCCUAUGGGUUGUAAACUGCUUUUGUACGGGAAUAAAGUGACCUACGUGUAGGUUUUUGCAUGUACCGUAAGAAUAAGGACCGGCUAAUUCCGUGCCAGCAGCCGCGGUAAUACGGAGGAUCCGAGCGUUAUCCGGAUUUAUUGGGUUUAAAGGGAGCGUAGGCGGAAGGUCAAGUCAGCUGUGAAAUGUAGUCGCUCAACGUCUGCACUGCAGUUGAAACUGGCCUCCUUGAGUGCGUAAGAGGCAGGUGGAAUUCGUCGUGUAGCGGUGAAAUGCUUAGAUAUGACGAAGAACUCCGAUUGCGAAGGCAGCUUGCUGGGCCGCAACUGACGCUGAAGCUCGAAGGUGCGGGUAUCAAACAGGAUUAGAUACCCUGGUA
rnacentral:rRNA from 1 species